GAUGAACGCUAGCUACAGGCUUAGCACAUGCAAGUCGAGGGGUAACGAGAGGAAAGCUUGCUUUCCUUGUCGACGACCGGCGCACGGGUGAGUAACGCGUAUCCAACCUGCCCCCAACUAAGGAAUAACCUUGCGAAAGUAAGACUAAUACCUUAUAAUUUCCUCAGAUGACAUCUGACGAGGAAUAAAGAUUUAUCGGUUGUGGAUGGGGAUGCGUCUGAUUAGCUUGUUGGCGGGGUAACGGCCCACCAAGGCAACGAUCAGUAGGGGUUCUGAGAGGAAGGGCCCCCACAGUGGAACUGAGACACGGUCCAAACUCCUACGGGAGGCAGCAGUGAGGAAUAUUGGUCAAUGGGCGGAAGCCUGAACCAGCCAAGUAGCGUGCAGGAUGACGGCCCUAUGGGUUGUAAACUGCUUUUAUACAGGAAUAAAGUUAGCCACGUGUGGUUAUUUGUAGGUACUGUAUGAAUAAGGACCGGCUAAUUCCGUGCCAGCAGCCGCCGUAA
rnacentral:rRNA from 1 species